UAAACGAAAACAUACCAUAUAUUAUACCAAGUAUUGAAAAGUACAUGGCUUUUCAAUAUUUAACAUGUAAAAAUGCGUAUUUUUAGAUAAAACAAUAUAGGUAGAGUUGAUAUUGUGACACACAUUUAUGUUAUUAGAAAACAAGACUGUCACACCUCCUGCGCGAUGGGACUUCUGGUACCAGUGACAAUGCAAAGACCAAGACGAUGAAUCAUUUUCUUCUUUCGAGUUAUGUUUAUGUGAAGAAGGGCGAAAACGAUGAAGCUGAUCGGAAGAAAGCUGAUAAAAUUUCGGUGGUUUAAAAUCCAGUAUUGAAGUAAAUGUCUGGUUCUAAACAGUUAAUAAAAACAUAAUUAUUAAGUAGGCCUAUUUAGCUUCUAAAACUGUAUACUCACUUUCCAAAAUAAGGACGUUGAUAUUCAUAUUUAGGUAUAUACUCAAUUCCUAUAAUAGGAUAAUCAUAGUUGUUCAAAGAAAGAAGUUAAUAAUUUGUCCGGGACUUUAAUUAAAUAAACAUCCAAUCUAGCUGCAAAAAGGCUCUCGGAAGUCGCCAAGUAGAAAGGAAAUUUCAUCUUUCACAUCAUAAAAGUAUUUUUCCACUGCACUCAUAAGCAUUUAUUAUUUGUAUAAUAGACAUGGCCAAAAAUAUAUACCGGACCAGGAGAAAUAUUCUUACUAUUGCACGAAUAAAAGCAUUAAGAGGCAGUCUCUGUAAUAACUGACCGAUGACUAGGAAGUAAAAAAUCAGAAUGGUUUAAAUCAGGACUAUUGUUUGCUUUUUGAUAACUUACAUCAAAUACAGUUUCAA